rnacentral:rRNA from 1 species
GAUGAACGCUGGCGGCGUGCCUAAUACAUGCAAGUCGAGCGAACAGACGAGGAGCUUGCUCCUCUGACGUUAGCGGCGGACGGGUGAGUAACACGUGGAUAACCUACCUAUAAGACUGGGAUAACUUCGGGAAACCGGAGCUAAUACCGGAUAAUAUAUUGAACCGCAUGGUUCAAUAGUGAAAGACGGUUUUGCUGUCACUUAUAGAUGGAUCCGCGCCGCAUUAGCUAGUUGGUAAGGUAACGGCUUACCAAGGCAACGAUGCGUAGCCGACCUGAGAGGGUGAUCGGCCACACAGGAACUGAAGCACGGUCCAGACUCCUACGGAAGGCAACAGAAGGGAAUCUUCCGCAAUGGGCGAAAGCUUGACGGAGCAACGCCGCGUGAGUGAUGAAGGUCUUCGGAUCGUAAAACUCUGUUAUUAGGGAAGAACAAAUGUGUAAGUAACUAUACACGUCUUGACGGUACCUAAUCAGAAAGCCACGGCUAACUACGUG